GAUAGAGUGGAUGUGGAGAGGGUGUUUCCUAUAGUGGGGGAGUCUAGGACCAGAGGACACAGUUAGAGUGGAUAUGGAGAGGAUGUUUCCUAUAGUGGGGGAGUCUAGGGCCAGAGGAAACAGAUAGAGUUGAUGUGGAGAGUAUGUUUCCUAUAGUGGGGGAGUCUAGGACCAGAGGACACAGAUAGAGUGGAUGUGGAGAGGAUGUUUCCUAUAGUGGGGGAGUCUAGGACCAGAGGACACAGAUAGAGUUGAUGUGGAGAGUAUGUUUCCUAUAGUGGGGGAGUCUAGGACCGGAGGACACAGAUAGAGUGGAUGUGCUGGGGGCAGCCACCUACACAGCGAGCCCAUGACUCACCGACCCAGACCCGUCUGUCUUUGCACUGUGGGAGGAAAUCGGAACGCUCUGAGGGAAUCUGAGGGUCACUGGGAGAGAGCGUGCAAACUCCUGACGGGCAGUGGUUGAACUCGAACUCUGAACUUAACUGCUGGCGUUGUCAAGUGGUUCGCUGAUGUGCCAUCCCUGAGGGUGGCAUAGGAUCAUAAGGAAUCGGAGCAGGAUUCAGCCAUCUGGUCCGUCGAGCUUGCCCCGCCAAUCAGUAAGAUCACGGCUGAUCACUACCUAUCUGCCUUCCGCCCAUAACCCUUCAUUCCCCCACUGUGCAAAAAUCUAUCCAACCUUGUCUUAAAUAUAUUUACUGAUGUAGCCUCCACUGCUUCCCUGGGCAAGAGAAUUCCACAGAUUCGCCACCCUCUGGGAAAAGCAGUUCCUCCUCAUCUCUACCCUAAAUCUACUCCCCUAAAUCUUGAGGCUGAGUCCCCUAUUUCUAGUCUCACCUACCAUUGGAAACAACUUUCCCGCCUUUAUCUUACCUAUCCUUAUAGAAACAUAAUUUUCUAUAAUAAUCUCCUCAUAACUUUAAAUGUUUCUGUAAGAUCUCCUGUCUUUCUUCUGAAUUCCACCAACUGCAGUCCCAGGCAACAGUUUCUCCUCCUGGUCUAACUCCCUCAUCUCUGGAAUCAACCUGGUGAACCUCCUCUGCACUGCCUCUAAAGCCAGUAUAUCCUUCCUCAAGUACGGAGACCAGAACUACACACAGUUCUCCAGGUGCGGCCUCACCAGUACCCUGUACAGUUGCAGCAUGGCCUCCCUGCUCUUCAAUUCAAUCCCUCCAGCAAUGAAGGCCAACAUCCCGUUUGCCUUCUUGAUAGCCUGCUGUACCUGCAAACCAAUCUUCUGUGGUUCAUGCACAAGCACUCCCAAGUCCCUCUGCACAGCAGCAUGCUGUAAUCUUUCACCAUUUAAACGAUAAUGUGAUCUUCCAUUUUCCUUCCACAGUGGAUGACCUCCUAGUUACUGACGUUGCAUGCCAUGUGCCAGACCCUUGCCCACACAUUUAAUCUAUCCAUAUCUCUCUGCAAGCUCUCCGUAUCCUCUGAACAAUUUGCUUUCCCACUCAAUUUAGUGUCGUCAGCAAACUUAGAUACACUCUGCUCGUUCCCCUCUUCCAGAUUGUUAAUGUAUAUUGUGAACAGUUGCAGGCCCAGCAUCGGCCCCUGUGGCACACCUCUCACCAUUGAUUACCAACCAGAGAACUACCCAUGCAUCCCAACUCUCUGCUUUCUAUUAGUUAACCAAUCCUCUAUCUAUGCUGAUACAUCACCCCCAACUCUAUACAUCCUUAUCUUAUGGAUAAGUCUUAUCAAAUGCCUACCAGAAAUCCAAGUAUAUAAUGUCCAUCUGUUCCCCUCUAUCCUCUGUGCUCAUUAUAUCCUCAAAGAGCUCCAGUAAGUUUGUCAAACAGGACCUGCCUUUGCUGAAUGCAUUCUGCGUCUGUCUGACGGAUCCAUUUCUUUCCAGAUGCCUCACUAUUUCUUCUUUAAUGAUAGCUUCAAGCAUUUUCUCAGCUUCAGGUGUUAAACUAACUGGGCUCCCCAUCUAUAAUUCCUGACAGAUUUUCUCGUGUGGGCUACAGUUUCCUGCCUUUUGCCUGCACCCUUUUCUGGAACACUGGUGCGACAUUUGCCUUCUUCCAAUCCGCCAGGACCUGCCCAGAGACCAGAGAAUUUUGGACCCUCCAGAAGCAGUAGAGUGGGAAGGAGGAGGAGAAGGCGCCGCACGUCCCGGACACCGCCAUCAGAAGUUGGGAUGACAGUAGGAGCAUCCGCCGUCCGAACCUGACAACCAAAAGCACCAGAUUUAACAGCAUGGGUGAAUUUUCAACCAGAGCACAUCACCUCCUUAACUGCAGAGCUGACCUUCGGACCAGACUCGGUUUAACCUUUUACUGCGAGGGCCGUUGCCCUACUUCCCCUGCACGUGUCCUCAGUGGCACGGCCCAGCUGGCGGUGGGCGGCGCGGUGACGCCAGAACCCAGGGCGGACAAAGCAAUUUGAUGGGGGACAGAGGGUCGGACAUCAUCAGAGGAGGGGAAUGGGAACUCAGUGUUUCAGAUCCCCGGACAAUCGAAUGUCUCUUCCCCCUACUGGGUUCCUCCAGCAACUUAUUUUGACAGAGGACGUGGUGUGUGAGUGUGUGUCUAUCUGUGUACCUUUAAGAUGUGUACUUUUAAGAUAGAGAUGUGGCCACUUGCAACUGUGUAUAUGAGUUCGGGAGAGGGGGGAUGUGUUUAUGGUAUAAGUCCAUAAGACAUAGGACCAGAAUUAGGCCAUUUGGCCCAUCGAGUCUAUUCCACCAUUAAAUCACGACUGCUCCUUUCCUCCCCGUCCUCAGCCUCCUCCCCAGAUUUCUCCCAGUAACCUUUGACGCAUGUCCAGUCAAGAACUUAUCAACCUUUGCCUUAAAUACACCCAACAACUUGGCUUCCACAGCUGCCUGUGGUAAUAAAUUCCACAAAUUCACCACCCUCUGGCUAAAGAAAUUUCUCCACAUCUCCGUUUUAAAUGGACGCUGCUCUAUCCUGAGGCUGUGCCCUCUUGUCCUGGUGUCCCCCACCAUGGGAAAUAUCCUUUCCACAUCUACUCUGUCUAGUCUUUUCAACAUUCUAAAGGUGCCCAGCGAGGGUUAACUACUCUGCUGAAGAGGCUUAUCAUGUCUAUUCUGGGUCAGCUCCCUCACCUUUGGUCCCCACCAGACUCUCAGCUCUCACCAGUGGCUCAUCUGUGUUGUGGAUAGUGUGGAGGGCUGUCAGAGGUUACAGAGAGACAUUGAUAGGAUGCAAAACUGGGCUGAGAAGUGGCAGAUGGAGUUCAACCCAGAUAAAUGUGAGGUGGUUCAUCUUGGUAGGUCAAAUAUGAUGGUAAAAUAUAGCAUUAAUGGUAAGACUCUUGGCAGUGUGGAGGAUCAGAGGGAUCUUGGGGUCUGAGUCCAUAGGACACUCAAAGCUGCUGCGCAGGUUGACUAUGGUUAAGAAGGCAUACAGUGUAUUGGCCUUCAUCAACCGUGGGAUGGAGUUUAAGAGUUGAGAGGUAAUGUUACAGCUAUAAGGACCCUGGUCAGACCCCACUUGGAGUACUGUGCUCAGUUCUGGUUGCCUCACUAUAGGAAGGACGUGGAAUCCAUAGAAAGGGAGCAGAGGAGAUUUACAAGAAUGUUGCCUGGAUUGGGGAGCAUGCCUUAUGAGAAUAGGUUGAGUGAACUCAGCCUUUUCUCCUGGAGUGAUAAAGGAUGAGAGGUGACCUGAUAGAGGUGUAUAAGAUGAUGAGAGACAUUGAUCGUGUGGAUAGUCAGAGGCUUUAUCCCAGGGCUGAAAUGGCUAACAUGAGAGGGCAGUUUUAAGGUGCUUGGAAGUAGGUACAAAGGAGAUGUUAAGGGUAAGUUUUUUACGCAGAGAGUGGUGAGUGCGUGGAAUGGCUGCUGGUGACGGUGGUGGAGGCGGAUACGAUAGGGUCUUUUAAGAGACUCCUGGACAUGUACAGAGCACAGAAAAAUCGAGGGCUAUGGGUAAGCAUAGGUAAUUUCUAAAGUAAGUACAUGUUCAGCACAGCAUUGUGGGCUGAAGGGCCUGUAUUGUGCUGUAGGUUUUCCAUGUUUGUGUCUGUGUCCCUCAUGGUCCUACACACCACAAUAAGGUCACCCCUCAGACUCCUACACCCUAUCUGUGUCCCUCAUGGUUCUACACACCUCUAUAAGCUCACACCUCAGUCUCCUACACCCUAUCUGUGUCCCUCAUGGUUCUACACACCUCUAUAAGGUCACCCCUCAGUCUCCUACACCCUAUCUGUGUCCCUCAUGGUUCUACACACCUCUAUAAGGACACCCCUCAGUCUCCUACACCCUAUCUGUGUCCCUCAUGGUUUUACACACCUCUAUAAGGUCACCCCUCAGCUUACUACACCCUAUCUGUGUCCCUCAUGGUUCUACACACCUCUAUAAGGACACCCCUCAGUCUCCUACACCCUAUCUGUGUCCCUCAUGGUUUUACACACCUCUAUAAGGUCACCCCUCAGUCUCCUACACCCUUUCUGUGUCCCUUGUAGUUCUAUACAUCUCUAUAAGGUCACCCCUCAAUUUCCUAUGCCCCACUGAGGAACAUCCCAAUCUGAUCACCCUCUCUCCAUAUUCAGUCCCUCGAGUCCUGGCGAUGUCUUUGUAAGCCUCCCUGUGCUGUCUUUCUGAACAGGGGUCUGCAACUGUGGCCUCGCACAAUUGCGACAGACUGUCCGGACUCCUGAACGCAGCACCCCGGCGGAUGGAGAGUGCACCAAACACCUUGUGAGAGGAAUCCAUGGUUACAUAUUAACUCCGUACAGAAAGAGAGCUGGGAAAGGUUACAGCUCUCACCCUAUUGCCCCGGGCAAAUCUGUCAAUAAACUAAACGAAUACCAAAGGAUCAGUAACAGACCCAAUGGACUUUGAGCUUUUGGCAGGGUUGUCAUUGGAUUCACCAUGGUCUUGGGUUGGAUCAGAAGGCCAUAUCCAUUCCUAGUGGAAAUAACAUUGGCACAGAAGGCAAAACUGAGCAUAGGAGAGUACAGCUCAGGAACAGGCCAUUCGGCCCACAAUUUUGUGCUGACCCAGCUAAAAAUCAAAUUUAAAACACCCAAACAUUAAUCUCUUCUACCUACACCAUGUCCAUACCUCUCCAUCUUUCUCACGUCCAUGUGCCAAUCCAAAUGGCUCUGAAAAGCCUCUGAUGUAUUUGCCUCUACCAGGCAUCCACCCCUCUCUGAGUAAAAAUGUUACCAGUCACAUCCGCUUUGAAUUGACCUCCUCUCACCCUCAAUGCGUGCCCUCUGGUGUUAGACAUUGCAACCCUGGGAAACAGAUACUCUCCGUCCACUCUGUCUCUGCCUCUCAUAAUCUUAUAAACCUCGAUCAGAUCUCCCCUCAGCCUCUGACACUCCAGAGAAAACAACCCAAGUUUGUCCGGCCUCUCGUGAUAGCACACACCCUCUAAACCAGGCAGCAUCGAGGUGAACCUCUUCUGCUCCCUCUCCAAGGCCUCAACAUCUCUCCGAUAGUGGGGCAACCAGAACUGUGUGCAAUUCUCCAGAUGCAACCUCACUAGAGUUUUAUAAAGUUAUUAUAACCUCUUGACUUUUGAACUCAAUGCUUCGACUAAUAAAAGCAAACAUUCCAUAAGCCUUCUUAACCACCCUAUCGACCUGUGGAGCCACUUUCAAGGAGCUGUCAACUUGGAUCCCAAGAUCCCUCUGCUCAGCAACACCAUUAGGGAUCUUUUCCCUUAAGUAUACUGCCUCCUUGUACUUGCCCCUCCAGUACCCUGUUUUCAUAGAACAGGCCCCUUGACCCACCAUCUGAUUACAGAGAAAUGAGGACGUUGGUACAUUAACAAUGUUUAAAAUGUGUUUGGACAGGUGCACAAACAGGAAAGGCAUUGAGGGCAAAUGAGACCAGGAUAGAUGGACAAUCCCAGUCAGUACAGACCAGGCGGGCUGAAGGGCCUGUUUCUGUGCUGUUGGGAGUGGGGGAGGUGGGAUGGAGAGGAGGCAUCCAUGACUGGUUAAUCUUCUUUCCUGUCCUGAAGGUAGUUAUGCUGAAUAGCGAUGGAUCUGAAGCAGCGCCAGUUUCUUCCUCCACAGACGCUGCCUGUUGUAGGAAAUAAAACAUUACAGCGCAGUACAGGCCCUUCAGCCCACAAUAUUUAACCUACUCCAACAUCAAUCUAACCCUUUCCUCCCACAAAACCCUCCAUCUUUCUAUCAUCCACGUGCCUAUAUAAGAGUCUCUUAAAUACCAUUAAUGUAUCUGCACUACCAUCUCCCAUGGCAGGGCAUCCCACUCUCUCAAAAUUACCUCUGACCCCCCCCCCCCAAAAACUUUCCUCAGCUUAAAUUGUGCCUCCUCCAAAUUAGCCAUUUCCACCCUGGGAAAAAGUCUCUGGCUGUCCUCUCAAUCUAUGCCUCUUACCUUCUUGUACACUUCUAUCAAGUCACCUCUCACCCUCCUCCACUCCAAAGAGCAAAGCCCUAACUCACUCAACCUAACCACAUAAGCCAUGCUCUCUAAUCCAGGCAGCAUCCUGAUAAAUCUCCUUUGCACCCUCUCCAUAGCUUCCACAUCCUUCCUAUAGUGAGGUGACCAGAAUUGAACACAAUACUCCAAGUCUCAAUACUCUAAAUCUCACCAGAGAUUUGUACAGUUGCAACAUGACCUCUCUACUCUUGAACUCAAUACCCCUAUUAAUGAAGCCUCGCAUCCCAUAGGCCUUCUUAAUUACCCUACCAACCUGUGCAGCGACCUUGAGGGAUGUAUAGAUUUCAACCCCAAUGUCCCUUUGUUCAUCUACAUUCUUAAGUAACUGACCAUUAAUCCUGUACUCAGUCUUCUGGUUUGUCCUUCCAAAAUGCAUCACCUCACACUUAUCCGGAUUGAACUCCAUCUGCCAUUUUUCUGCCCAACUCUGCAGCCUGUCUAUAUCCUCUUGUAACCUUCGACCAUCUACAGCUCCAUCCACAACUCCUCCAAUCUUCAUGUCAUCCACAAACUUACUCACCCAUCCUUCCGCCUCUACAUCCAGGUCAUUUAUAAAAAUCACAAAUAGCAGGGGUCCCAGGACAGAUCCCUGCGGCACUCCACUGGUCACCAACCUCCAGGCAGAAUACUUUCCUUCCACAACUACCCUCUGCUUUCUGCCUUUAAGCCAAUUUUUUAUCCAAACAGCCAAGGUUCCAUUUAUCCCAUGCCUCAUGACUUUCUGGAUGAGUCUCUCAUGAGGGACAUUGUCAAAUGCUUUACUAAAGUCCAUGUAGACCACAUCCACUGCUCUCCCCUCAUCAAUUUCUUUUGUUACCUCUUUAAAAAAACUCAAUCAGGCUUGUGAGGCACGAUCUUCCCUUCACAAAGCCACGUUGACUAUCCAUGAGUAGACAGUACUUCUCCAAAUGCUCGUUGAUCCUAUCCUUAAGAAUCCUUUCCAGUAGUUUUCCGACCACUGACGUAAGACUCACCGGUCUGUAGUUCCCAAGUUUCUCCCUAUUACCUUUUUUAAACAAGGGAACUACAUUUGCCAUUCUCCAGUCCUCCAGCACUUCCCCUGUAGCCAAAGAGGAUUCAAAGAUCAUGGCUAAUGCUCCUGCGAUCUCUUCUCUCAAUUCCCACAACAACCUGGGGAGUAUCAUAUCCAGCCCUGGGGAUUUAUCAAUCUUAAUGUUUUUAAGAAGAUCCAGUACUUCUUCUUCCUCAAUCUCCACAUUGUCCAGCACACAGGCCCACUCAACUCGACCUCAUCCUGAUCAAGAUGCUUUUCACUUGUGAAUACUGAAGCGAAGUAUACAUUUAGGACCUCCCCAACCUCCUCUGCCUCCAGGCACAUGUUGCCCUCUUUAUCCUUUAGCCAUGUACAGCCAUCCUCUGCCUUCUAUGUUGCAGGCCAAUUCUGAAUCCACACAGCCAAGAUUCCCUGGAUCUCAUGCCCCAACUUUCAGAACGAGCCUACAUUGUCGAAUGCCUUUCUAAAAUCCGUGUAGAUAUUCGGAUGAAUCGCUCAAU